CUGUUUACCCCGUCGCCAUGACGCCAGCCUGUCCCACAUCAGGGGAGGGGCAGUGAGGCAGAGGAGGAAGAGGAGGAGGACGAAGCCGGGCAGCUCCCAGUGCUUCAGCUCUGUGGAGGCGGUGGGCGGAGCCUCCUCGUCAUGGACCGGAUCGGACGCGCUCCUCGCUCUGCCAUUGGCCAGGAACCUGAAACAGAGAGGGGAGCAGGCGUGACGGUGCAGUUCCAGCUGUGACCACCAGGGAGCAGAUCACCUCUGGAAGAUCAGAACUUCGGUUCGGCUGAGACCGGAACUGAACGACUGGAUCGGGCCCUCUCUGCUCAACAAGAUGCACAGGGUGACGCGGUUUGACCUCUGACCCCGGCCAACAGCAGGAAGGAUACGAUGUAGCCCGCAGGGACCCAGUGCGGCGGCAGAAGCGGGACGAAGACGCCGAAGCCGGUGACGGCGAAGUAGA